ACAUACGACCAUAGGGUGUGGAAAACAGGGCUUCCCGUCCGCUCAGCCGUACUUAAGCCACACGCCGGGAGGUUAGUAGUUGGGUGGGUGACCACCAACGAAUCCCUCCUGUUGUAUGUU
rnacentral:rRNA from 1 species